CCAUGUUGGCUCUCUUCACUGUUUUGUUGGUGUGUUGAGGCCUAUGUGGUGUUAUAAAUUAAUUCAGAUUGUGAAACUGUGAAUGGCUUAUUAAAUUAGUUAUAGUUUAUUUGAUGGUAUCUACUAUUCAGAUAACCAUAGUAAUACUAAAGCUAAUAUGUGCAGAAACCUCAACUUCUAAAAAGGAUGCAUUUAUUAGAUAAAAUGUCGAUGCUAGCUUUGCUCGUUGUUUUGAUGAUUCAUGAUAACUUUACGGAUUGCAUGGCCUUUGUGCUGUGCUAGCAACGCAUCAUUCAAAUUUUUGCCUUAUGAAGUUUCGAUGCUAGGAUAGUGGCCUACUAUGGUAGUGAUGAGUGAUGGAAAGUUAGGGUUUGAUUCUGGAGAGAGAGCUUGAGAAAUAGCUACCACAUCCAAGGAAGGCAAUAGGAGCAAAAAUUACCCAAUCUUGACACAGGGAGUUAGUGACAAUAAAUAACAAUAUUGAGCUUUAUGAGUCUAACAAUUAGAAUGAGUACAAUCUAAAUCCCUUAGUGAGGAUCCAUUGGAGGGCAAGUCUAAUGCCAGUAGCCAUAGUAAUUCUAGUUCCAAUAGCAUAAAUUUAAGUUAUUGUAGUUAAAAAGCUCAUAGUUAGAGUUAGGGUUAAAUCCUUUGGUUUGCCUCACAAUAAGCAUCAGUUUACUUGUCCCUACUACUAGCGAUGUGCCUUUGGCCUUAACUAGCUGGGUCAUUCCUCUGACACUGUUACUUUAAAGAAAUUAAAGUGCUUAAAGUAGGCCCUUGCUUGUAUGCAUUAGCAUAGGAUAACAUCAUAGGAUUUUGGUCCUAUUGUAUUAGCCUUCAAGAUUAGAGUAAUGAUUAACAGAGACAAUCAAGGGGAUUUGUAUUUCAUAGUUAAAAGUGAAAUUUUUGGAUUUAUAAGAGAUGAACAACUACAAAAGCAUUUACCAAGGAUAUUUUUAUUAAUCAAGAAUGAAAGUUGGGGGCUAGAACAUGAUUAGAUACCAUCCUAGUCUCUACCAUAAAUGAUGUUGACCAAGGAUCAAUGGAUGUUACUUUUAAGACUCUAUUGGUACCUUAUAAGAAAUCAAAGUCUUUGGGUUUCAAGGGUAAUAUGGUCGCAAGGCUAAAACUUAAAGGAAUUGAUAGAAGGGCACCACUAGGAGUGGAGCCUAUAGCUUAAUUUCACUCAACAUGAGGAAACUUACCCGGUCAACACAUAGUAAGGAAUGACAGAUUGAGAGCUUUUUCUUGAUUCUAUAGGUGGUGGUGCAUGGCCAUUCUUAGUUGGUGGAGUGAUUUGUCUGGUUAAUUCUAUUAAUGAAUAAGAUCUUAACCUACUAACUAGCUACAUGGAGGUAAUUCUUCAUAGCUAGCUUUUUAAAAGGACUAUGGCCGUUUAAGCCAUGGAAGUUUGAGGGAAUAACAGGUUUAUGACACCCAUAGAUGUUCUAGGCUACUCAUACACAACAUUGAUGUAUUGAACAAGUCUAUAGCCUUGGUUGAUAGGCUUCGAUAAUCAUUGAAAUUUCACCGUGAUGGGGAUAGAUCAUUGUAAUUGUUAGUCUUCAAUGAGGAAUUCUUAGUAAACGUGAGUCUUUAGCUUAUGUUGACUAUGUCCUUGCCCUUUGUACACAUCGCCUAUUGCUCUUACCGAUUGAAUGGUUUGAUGAAGUGUUUAGAUCAUGGUGAUGUGGAUGGUUCAUUACUAGAGAUGUUAUAAGAAGUCCAUUAAACCUUAUCAUUUAGAGGAAGAAGAAGUUGCAACAAGGUUUUCAUAGGUGACAUUAUAAAAG
rnacentral:rRNA from 1 species